AGAGUUUGAUCAUGGCUCAGAACGAACGCUGGCGGCGUUAACACAUGCAAGUCGCGUGCGCAGUUUCCGUAGCAAUACGGGGAUGGGCGCACGGCGCACGGGUGCGUAACACGUGGGCAAUCUGCCCUCCGAUGGGGAAUACCCCCGCGAAAGCGGGACUAAUUCCGCAUAACAUUCCUUGGAUUAACUUUCGAGGAUUCAAAGCAGCAAUGCGUCGGAGGAGGAGCCCGCGCCCGAUUAGCUAGUUGGUGAGGUAACGGCCCACCAAGGCAAUGAUCGGUAGCUGGUCUGAGAGGAUGGCCAGCCACACUGGAACUGAGACACGGUCCAGACUCCUACGGGAGGCAGCAGUGGGGAAUCUUGCACAAUGGGCGAAAGCCUGAUGCAGCGACGCCGCGUGGGGGAUGAAGCUUUUCGGAGUGUAAACCCCUUUCGACUGGGACGAAUGCCUCGCAAGAGGAGUGACGGUACCAGUAUAAGAAGCCCCGGCUAACUACGUGCCAGCAGCCGCGGUAAGACGUAGGGGGCCAGCGUUGUUCGGAAUUACUGGGUGUAAAGGGUUCGUAGGCGGUGUGGCAAGUCGGGAGUGAAAUCUCUGGGCUCAACCCAGAGACUGCUUCCGAAACUGCUGUGCUUGAGUGUGAGAGAGGCUCGUGGAAUUGCAGGUGUAGCGGUGAAAUGCGUAGAUAUCUGCAGGAACACCCGUGGCGAAAGCGGCGAGCUGGAUCACUACUGACGCUGAAGAACGAAAGCUAGGGGAGCAAACAGGAUUAGAUACCCUAGUAGUCC
rnacentral:rRNA from 1 species